AGAAUCUAGCUGGGGGCUCUGGAUCCGGUGGGUGCCUGGGGCCAGUGGAGGAGGAGGAAGCUGAGGAGGUUGGGGUGACUGCUUAGGUGACAUCUGAUGAAAUUAGUGAAUAAGCAAAUCAGCUAUGUCUUACACUCCGGGUGUUGGUGGUGACCCUGCCCUACUGGCCCAGUGUAUCUCUUCCAAUAUCCAGAAGAUCACACAAUAUUCUGUGGAAAUACAA